rnacentral:rRNA from 1 species
GACGAACGCUGGCGGCGUGCCUAACACAUGCAAGUCGAACGGAACUGUUUUGAAAGAUUUCUUCGGAAUGAAUUUGAUUUAGUUUAGUGGCGGACGGGUGAGUAACGCGUGAGUAGCCUGCCUUCAAGAGGGGAAUAACAUUCUGAAAAGAAUGCUCAUACCGCAUGACAUAUCGGAACCACAUGGUUUUGAUAUCAAAGAUUUUAUCGCUUGAAGAUGGACUCGCGUCCGAUUAGUUAGUUGGUGAGGUAACGGCUCACCAAGACCGCGAUCGGUAGCCGGACUGAGAGGUUGAACGGCCACAUUGGGACUGAGACACGGCCCAGACUCCUACGGGAGGCAGCAGUGGGGGAUAUUGCGCAAUGGGGGCAACCCUGACGCAGCAACGCCGCGUGAAGGAUGAAGGUUUUCGGAUUGUAAACUUCUUUUAUUAAGGACGAAAAAUGACGGUACUUAAUGAAUAAGCUCCGGCUAACUACGUG